UCUCUAUUAAAAAAAAAAUUGGUUGGUAAUUUUUUCUGCUAUUCUCCAAAAUUCUCCAAAAAAAGCUCAAUUUCAAUGAAUGAGGACUAUUAGUAUGUCAUUAUACAUAUUUUAAUUCAACUAUUAAUAAGACAAAAUUUGGUUGGGAAUUUUUUAAGAAAUUUUUCCUUUGUUGACUGGCCUAGAUGUCAAUUUUAAACUUGUAAUUGAGCUAAAAGUUAUGGUAAUAUAUUCAAUUUUUUUUGCUAUAAACUUUCAUAAAUCUUUAUAAAAAAUUUUUCAUCAAUUUUAAAGAACCAAAAAAAUAGGUUAAAAAUGAAAAUUUGGACUGAUUAUUGUUAACAUAUUAAAAAUCAAAUCAGUAAUAAUUUGAAAACAAUUUUUUUUUCUUUUAAUUAUUUUUUAUAUGUAAUUAGUAAUAAUAUAAAAAAUUAGAACUGAUAGAUAAAGUCUAAUUGCAGAUUUGAAAACAACGCGAAACUUUGAUUUAGAAAAGUAUAUUUUUGCUUCUGAUGAAAGUUCCUUGAAGUCCAUGCAUUUUUUUAUAGUAACAAACAGUUUUUAUUGAAAAUUAUUGUAUCAAGCCCUUUAAAUUUUUAUACACGUAAAAGUAAAGCAAAAUAUAACUUCUUUAUUAUUUUUAUAAUUUCUCCGUUUAAAUUACAAUAUUAAAUAUCAAUUUCAUACUAAAUUUAAUAAUUAUAAUUAGUAUAUAUUCAAAUAUUAUAUUUUAAAAUCAAAGAACUACUAAUCAUGAUAUAAUUAAAGAAAUAAGAGUUGAUGUUGCUUUUGGAAUAAUCCACCAAUUGCCUAAUUAAAACAAAAAAAAAAAAAGUUUGUUGGGAAUUUUUUCUGCUAUUCUGCAAAAUUACUCCUUCGUUGACUAGAAUGAAUCAUUAAAUAGAAAAUUUUAUGAGAAUUAAAACAAUGUUAUUUUUAAGAUUAAUAUGCAGUCAGAAAGUUUUAUAAUUAUUAUUUAUUGUAAAUUUAUCAGAAAAACUCAUUAUUUUUUGCAUUUUUAUCGUAAUAGAACACUUAAAUAGAAAUCAUAGUAAUCAUUUCUAAGUAAUUUUUGAUAUUUAAAAAGAUUCUACUAUUGAAAUAUCCAGAACUGAAUUAAUUUUAAUGAUUUACUUUAACUAAAAAAAAAAAAGUUAAUAUUUUGAAUCCCUCUUGUGGGCAGGUAAAGGGUUAGAUUUAUAAAAAAAACCAAAUGAUA